AGUGAACGCUGGCGGCAGGCCUAAUACAUGCAAGUCGAACGGCAGCACAGCAGAGCUUGCUCUGUGGGUGGCGAGUGGCGGACGGGUGAGGAAUACAUGGGAAUCUACCCAGUCGUGGGGGAUAACGUAGGGAAACUUACGCUAAUACCGCAUGCGCCCUUCGGGGAAAGCCGGGGACCUUCGGGCCUGGCGCGAUUGGAUGAGCCCAUGUCGGAUUAGCUAGUUGGCGGGGUAAUGGCCCACCAAGGCGACGAUCCGUAGCUGGUCUGAGAGGAUGAUCAGCCACACUGGAACUGAGACACGGUCCAGACUCCUACGGGAGGCAGCAGUAGGGAAUAUUGGACAAUGGGCGCAAGCCUGAUCCAGCCAUGCCGCGUGAGUGAAGAAGGCCCUCGGGUUGUAAAGCUCUUUGUCCGGAAAGAAAGCGCCGGGUUAAUACCCUAGUGUCCUGACGGUACCGAAGAAUAAGCACCGGCUAACUUCGUGCCUAGCAGCCGCGGUAAU
rnacentral:rRNA from 1 species